CGCCAAGUCCGAAUAGAUACUACUACUACUUUUUUUAAUUUUUCUUUUACUCUUGUUUUAUUUUACUACUUUUAUUACCAAACUUUUCUCGUUUCUUCCCUUGAAAACGAACCAAUUUUCAUCUCUCUCUCUCUCUCUCUAGCAGUAUAUUCACACGCACCUAUAUAUAUACACACACCACACAUGUCCUCUUUCUAUUCUCCUUUUCUUCAUACUCCUUCCCAUUUUUGCUUCCUCUUCUCUUCCCAACUCUGCAACAUCACACUCAUAAUCAUCUUCUCAUCAUCAAUACGCCCCGUGUAA